rnacentral:tRNA from 1 species
GGCCCCAUCGUCUAGCUUGGUCAGGACAGGUGAUUCUCAGUCAUCAGACACCGGUUCAAAUCCGGUUGGGGCUACCA